ACAAUACAAUCUGAACAGGCGCGGCUAUUUUUCCGGCGCCGGGCCUUAUAUCGGGCAGCGGAUAAGCAUCUGCGGGACAGU
rnacentral:ncRNA from 1 species